UACGGAGGGGGCGAGCGUUAUUCGGAAUUAUUGGGCGUAAAGGGCGCGUAGGCGGCCCGGUAAGUCAAAGGUGAAAUCCCUCGGCUCAACUGAGGAACUGCCCUUGAAACUGUCGGGCUUGAGGCCGGGAGGGGGUAGCGGAAUUCCCAGUGUAGCGGGUGAAAUGCGUAGAUACUGGGAGGAACACCAGUGGCGAAGGCGGCUACCUGGACCGGUUCUGACGCUGAUGCGCGAAAGCGUGGGUAGCAAACAGG
rnacentral:rRNA from 1 species